rnacentral:rRNA from 1 species
AUUGAACGCUGGCGGCAGGCCUAAUACAUGCAAGUCGAGCGGAGCGGCGGACGGGUGAGUAAUGCCUAGGAAGCUGCCUGGUAGUGGGGGAUAACGUCCGGAAACGGGCGCUAAUCCCGCAUACCAUAAGAUGAGCUUAGGUCGGAUUAACGAGUGGGGAGGGUAAAGGCCUAUCAAGGCGACGAACCGAAACUGGUCUGAGAGGAUGAUCAGUCACACUGGAACUAGACACCGGUCAGAACUCCAACGGAAGACAGAGUUGGGGAAUAGUGGAGAAUGGGCGAAAGCCUGAUCCAGCCAUGCCGCGUGGGUGAAGAAGGUCUUCGAAUUGUAAAGCCCUUUAGGUUGGGAGGCGUUACCUACAGAAUAAGCACCGGCUAACUUCGUGCCAGCAGCCGCGGUAAUUC